CUUUUACAACUCAACACUAAAAAGACAAGUAACACAAUUUUAAAGUGAAAAAAAGAUUUGAAUAGAAAUUUUUCCAAAGAAGAUAUAUAAAUGCCAAUAAGCACA